AAUAGAUACCCCGGUAGUCCACGCUGUAAACGAUGUCAACUAGCUGUUGGCUAUAUGAAUAUAGUUAGUGGCGCAGCAAACGCGAUAAGUUGACCGCCUGGGGAGUACGGUCGCAAGAUUAAAACCCAAAGGAAUUGACGGGGGCCCGCACAAGCGGUGGAGCAUGUGGUUUAAUUCGAUGCAACGCGAAGAACCUUACCUACCCUUGACAUACAGUGGAGCUUGCAGAGAUGUGAGUGUGCCUUCGGGAACACUGAUACAGGUGCUGCAUGGCUGUCGUCAGCUCGUGUCGUGAGAUGUUGGGUUAAGUCCCGUAACGAGCGCAACCCUUAUCCUUAGUUGCCAGCACGUAAAGGUGGGAACUCUAAGGAGACUGCCGGUGACAAACCGGAGGAAGGCGGGGACGACGUCAAGUCAUCAUGGCCCUUACGGGUAGGGCUACGACACGUGCUACAAUGGUUGAUACAGAGGGCAGCGAAGGGGCGACCUGGAGCAAAUCUUAGAAAGUCAAUCGUAGUCCGGAUUGGAGU
rnacentral:rRNA from 1 species